rnacentral:rRNA from 1 species
AGGCCUAACACAUGCAAGUCGAGGGGCAGCAUAGAUUGCUUGCAAUCUGAUGGCGACCGGCGCACGGGUGCGUAACGCGUAUGAAACCUACCUAAUACAGGGGGAUAGCCCAGAGAAAUUUGGAUUAAUACCCUAUGGUACUGUGAUCUCGCAUGGGAUUAUAGUUAAAGAUUUAUCGGUAUUAGAUGGUCAUGCGUUCUAUUAGUUAGUUGGUAAGGUAACGGCUUACCAAGACAUCGAUAGAUAGGGGCCCUGAGAGGGGGAUCCCCCACACUGGUACUGAGACACGGACCAGACUCCUACGGGAGGCAGCAGUGAGGAAUAUUGGACAAUGGAGGCAACUCUGAUCCAGCCAUGCCGCGUGAAGGAAGACUGCCCUAUGGGUUGUAAACUUCUUUUAUAGAGGAAGAAACACAGAUACGUGUAUUUGUUUGACGGUACUCUACGAAUAAGGAUCGGCUAACUCCGUGCCAGCAGCCGCGGUAAUACGGAGGAUCCAAGCGUUAUCCGGAAUCAUUGGGUUUAAAGGGUCCGCAGGCUGUUGUUUAAGUCAGAGGUGAAAGUUUGCAGCUCAACUGUAAAAUUGCCUUUGAUACUGGAUAACUUGAGUAAUAAUGAAGUGGUUAGAAUAUGUAGUGUAGCGGUGAAAUGCAUAGAUAUUACAUAGAAUACCGAUUGCGAAGGCAGAUCACUAAUUAUAUACUGACGCUGAGGGACGAAAGCGUGGGGAGCGAACAGGAUUAGAUACCCUGGUAGUCCACGCCGUAAACGAUGGUUACUAGCUGUUUG